rnacentral:miRNA from 1 species
UGUGUGUGUGUGUGGGUGUGUGUGUAUAUAUAUAUAUAUAUAUAUAUAUAUACACACACACACCCACACACACACAUG